rnacentral:rRNA from 1 species
GAUGAACGCUGGCGGCGUGCCUAAUACAUGCAAGUCGAGCGAACGGACGAGAAGCUUGCUUCUCUGAUGUUAGCGGCGGACGGGUGAGUAACACGUGGAUAACCUACCUAUAAGACUGGGAUAACUUCGGGAAACCGGAGCUAAUACCGGAGGAUAUUUUGAACCGCAUGGUUCAAAAGUGAAAGACGGUCUUGCUGUCACUUAUAGAUGGAUCCGCGCUGCAUUAGCUAGUUGGUAAGGUAACGGCUUACCAAGGCAACGAUGCAUAGCCGACCUGAGAGGGUGGUCGGCCACACUGGAACUGAGCCACGGUCCAGACUCCUACGGGAGGCAGCAGUAGGCAAUCGUCCGCAAUGGGCGAAAGCCUGACGGAGCAACGCCGCGUGAGUGAUGAAGGUCUUCGGAUCGUAAAACUCUGUUAUUAGGGAAGAACAUAUGUGUAAGGAACUGUGCACAUCUUGACGGUACCUAAUCAGAAAGCCACGGCUAACUACGUG